rnacentral:rRNA from 1 species
CAGCAGCCGCGGGAACACAGAGGGUGCGAGCGUUAAUCGGAUUUACUGGGCGUAAAGCGUGCGUAGGCGGCUUUUUAAGUCGGAUGUGAAAUCCCUGAGCUUAACUUAGGAAUUGCAUUCGAUACUGGGAAGCUAGAGUAUGGGAGAGGAUGGUAGAAUUCCAGGUGUAGCGGUGAAAUGCGUAGAGAUCUGGAGGAAUACCGAUGGCGAAGGCAGCCAUCUGGCCUAAUACUGACGCUGAGGUACGAAAGCAUGGGGAGCAAACAGGAUUAGAGACCCCUGUAGUCCCUGUCUCUUAUAC